UCUGUUUCCUGAGAAAGUUGAGUAUAAGAAACUUUCUGAUGAUGACAAAAUAAUUUUUAGAAGAUUCCAGGAUAAGACCCUCAAAAGUCUUACCGAUGAAAUGAUGGAAAUCGGCGUUGGCAACGAAGAGGAACGCCUGAUGUUCAAGAGGAUAUUCAUCCUCUAUAUACAGAUGGCGUUCCUUUUGCCAACGACGAUAAACAAAAUAUCGCCUGUGCACUUGGCCCCAAUUUUUAAGAUGGACGGCAUAUCGGAGAGAAACUGGGGGGGGGGCAUGUUUUGACCUUCAUGAUCAAGGGCAUCACAGACUACAAGGAGAAAAAGAAGAAGGCAAUUGAUGACUGCCUCUUUGCCCUGAUGAUAAUUUACUUUCAUCUUUCAAAAAACAAAGGCAAGAAGAGGGCUGAAAGACCACCGAAGCCCUGGAUUGCCAACUGGACUAAGGAGCAGUUGGUGGAAAGAAUGACUGCAGAAAGAGAGGAACUUUUGGGGAUUGUGAAGAUGGCGGAGACAAGAGCAAGAGAAAAAAUGAAAAAAAAAAGAAAAAAAAGAAAAAAAAACAAGAAAUCAAAAAAACAAAAAAAGGAAGGCGAGUUCAACAUCGUCUUCGGAGAAAGAAACUACUGACAGUGACACUUUUACCUCUGAGUCUGAGACUCAAGAAGACUCAGAGGAUUCAGGAACAAAACACCGCAGAAAAAAGGGAAAAAAAAUGGACUCCAGAAAAAGAAAGAAGAGUCAAGAGGAGUCAGAUUCUGAUU